rfam:Gossypium hirsutum cultivar TM-1 chromosome 18, whole genome shotgun sequence
GGUUUAAAAUUUCAUUCAUUUUUACUGUUAAAAAUUAGGGUGGUUAAUCAAAAAAUUAAAUAGUGAAACAUUGUGUGUCAUGUAGACCUCAUGCUGACAUACAGAGACUAAUUUUUAACAAUAAAACUAGAUUAAACUUUUAAUA